UGUGGGAGCUGGCUUGCCAGCGAUAGGGGCGUUUCGGUCAGCAUCUUUGGUGGCUGACAUUCCGCUAUCGCUGGCAAGCCAGCUCCCACA
rnacentral:antisense_RNA from 1 species